rnacentral:lncRNA from 1 species
CUUCCGUGCCAUCCCUCAGGUUCUGCAGGGCACUGGCCACUUCUGCACAGCCAGGCCUUCCCACCCUACCCCCGAGAUUCACACAGCAGGGUCCACUCCCUCCCAGGCUUGGCUUCCCCAGGCUGAGGGCUGGGCAUUGGCACCCUUCCACAGACCACAUGAGUCAGCUCCCUCCCCACCCAACAAGGCCAGUGCUGGCUCUGUCUGAGGUCCCUUUGUUCAGGUCUCUUCUGAAGAAAGGCACCAGAGGCUCCAGCUCUGGCCAUAAUGCCCCAGAUGAAGCUUGACAGGAGAACUGGACACAACAGGCCAGAAUAUGCAUUCCAGGAGAGCAGGGAUAUUUGUUUUGUUCCCCGAUGUAUCCCCUGGAUCUAGCACAGGACUGGCAGGUUUCCCUAGGAUCACCAGCUGUCAUGGACUGAUUUGUGUCUCUCCAAAUUCAUAUGUUGAAUACUUAACCUGCCAUGCGAUUGUGAUUGGAGAUAAUUCCUUUAGGGAAGCAAUGAAGGUUAAAUGAGGUCAUAGGUGGGAGCUUAAUCCAAUGGGACUGGGGUCCCUACAAGAAGAGGAAGACACCAGAGCUCUCUGUCUCCACACACAGAGAAAAGAGGCUGUAUGAGGACACAAGAGAAGGUAAUAGCUGUCUACAAACCAAGAAGAGAAGCCUCUCCAGAAAAUGAACCCUGCUGGAACUUGGUCUUGGACUUUCCAGCCUCCAGAACUGGGAGAAAAUAAAGUUCAAAAUAAAGUUCUGUUGUGUAAGCCCCCGAGUCCAUGGUAUUUUGUUAUGGCAGCCCUAGCAGACUAAUAACACCUGCUAAUUAAACUGCUUGUUCUCCACUUGUUGUCUCAGGGUCUGUUCCUAGGGAACCUGGACUCAGACAGAUGCUCUGCUUAAUUAGACCCCAGGGAAAUGUAAAUGAAAACCACGUGUGAUGCCAUGUCACAAGUACUAGGAUAACCAGAAGGAAAUCUGACCACAUCGGAUGCUGGUGAGGUUGGGAAGCUGUCAUAUUUAGCUGACGGAGGUGUGAGUCGGCAAACCACUUUGGAAAAC